UACGUAUGGUGCAAGCGUUAUCCGGAUUUACUGGGUGUAAAGGGAGCGUAGGCGGCGCGUUAAGUCUGAUGUGAAAACCCGAGGCUCAACCACGGGAGUGCAUUGGAAACUGGCGGGCUGGAGUGCCGGAGAGGUAAGCGGAAUUCCUAGUGUAGCGGUGAAAUGCGCAGAUAUUAGGAGGAACACCAGUGGCGAAGGCGGCUUACUGGACGGCAACUGACGCUGAGGCUCGAAAGCGUGGGGAGCAAACAGG
rnacentral:rRNA from 1 species